rnacentral:rRNA from 1 species
CGGGGGACAGGGUGACAGGUGGUGCAUGGUUGUCGUCAGCUCGUGUCGUGAGAUGUUGGGUUAAGUCCCGCAACGAGCGCAACCCCUAUUGUUAGUUGCCAUCAUUCAGUUGGGCACUCUAGCGAGACUGCCGGUAAUAAACCGGAGGAAGGUGGGAUGACGUCAAAUCAUCAUGCCCCUUAUGACCUGGGCUACACACGUGCUACAAUGGUUGGUACAACGAGUUGCGAGUCGGUGACGGCGAGCUAAUCUCUUAAAGCCAAUCUCAGUUCGGAUUGUAGGCUGCAACUCGCCUACAUGAAGUCGGAAUCGCUAGUAAUCGCGGAUCAGCAUGUCGCGGCGAAUACGUUCCCGGGUCUU